rnacentral:rRNA from 1 species
CCUACGGGAGGCAGCAGUGAGGAAUAUUGGUCAAUGGGCGGAAGCCUGAACCAGCCAAGUCGCGUGCAGGAUGACGGCCCUACGGGUUGUAAACUGCUUUUGUGCGGGAGUAACGCGCAUUACGUGUACCGCUUCGCAUGUACCUUAUGAAUAAGAACCGGCUAAUUCCGUGCCAGCAGCCGCGGUAAUCCGGAGGGUCCGGGCGUUAUCCGGAUUUAUUUGGUUUAACGGGAGGGUAGGCCGAGGGUCAAGUUUGCUGUGAAAUUUCCGGGCGCAACCCGGGACUUGCAGCGCGAACUGGCGGGCUGGAGUCUGCGAAAGGCAGGCGGAAUUCGUGGUGUAGCGGUGAAAUGCGUAGAUAUGACGAAGAACACCGAUUGCGAAGGCAGCCUGCUGGAGCGGAACUGACGCUGAGGCGCGAAAGCGUGGGUAGCGAACAGGAUUAGAUACCCUUGUAGUC